GGAAAUGCUAGCUUACUCUUAGAGAGGAGUGAAAGGCCCCAUCACAUGUGACAUUUGCUCCCUCAAAGCACUGGUUUUAAGCAGCGGAUAAAAGUUUGCAACAGAGAGCAUUGUUUUUGGACAGAAAAUAGGAAGAGAUGUUACCUAAUGAGUUCCUUUUUGCUCUAAUCCAUCUUUCAGCAUUUGUCAGUAGUCACAUAUAUGUGGAACAGCAACCAGCCUCUGUACAUCUCUCUGAAGGGGAAAAUGUUACCCUGUCAUGUCACAUGCGUGCAGAUGAAGACAUGAAAAUUUCUCAUUUCACUGUAGAGUGGCACAGGGGAGAUGAGCACAGACAACACAAGGUCAAAAACAUUUCCCAGCUCAGAGGACGGUUGCAAGAGAUCACUAAUAUAAACCAGCACAGUGCAAGCCUUUCACUCUCCAUGCUCAAGCUAAAUGACACUAGCAAGUACUUCUGCAUUUUCUUCAUCCGGAUUGAUCAGAAAGUAUUGCAGCAUUAUACGAACGGCACAAACCUUGUUGUCCAAGAGGAGUUGACUACAGCAAUGUCCAUCCUCAGUACCACAGUUAAUACUAAUAAUAACACUGGUAACAAUACUGAUGCUGAUACUGAAUACGAGAAUGUGAAUAUCCUUCACACUUUUCUAAUUUUUCUUCCAUUAUCAUUAAAGUUUGUGUCAGCUAUGUUUAUAUGCUUUUAUACUUUGUUUUCCUAUACAUCCGUUAUUAUUUUCUGUCCUGGUUAGGUUUACCUAAAACUGUAACAUGACAUGUUGCUAAACAUCUUAAAACGUCUCCUAUUUUUUUGUGGGAUGUGGUAGCCUAGUGAUUAAUUUGUUGGGCUACCAAUCGGAAUGUUGUAAGUUUGAUUCAUAUGUCUACCAAGCUGCCACUGCUGGGCCCCUGAGCAAGGCCCUUAACCCUCAAUUGCUCAGUUGUAUAAAAAAUGUAUAUAAAAAUGUAAAAAGAUAAAAUUUAAAUUGCUCUGGAUAAGGGUGUCUGUUAAAUGCUGAAAAUGUAUUUUUCACUUAACCUAAGUGACUCUUAUGACUCAUAAACACCCACAGAUAAUUACUACAAAAAGUCCGUUCAUGCAUAUAUUAUAUAAUUAUGACAAUGUGUGAUGUUUUUUCAACGUGUGACUUUUCUAACAUGCCCUCAAUUGUAAAAAA